rfam:Gregarina niphandrodes unplaced genomic scaffold scaffold00109, whole genome shotgun sequence.
GGGCGUCUAGCUCAAAAGGUAGAACGCUCGCUUAGCGCGCGAGAGGUAUUGGGAUCGAUACCCACGUCGUCCG